rnacentral:rRNA from 1 species
GUGACUGCGUACCUUUUGUAUAAUGGGUCAGCGACUUAUAUUCUGUAGCAAGGUUAACCGAAUAGGGGAGCCGAAGGGAAACCGAGUCUUAACUGGGCGUUAAGUUGCAGGGUAUAGACCCGAAACCCGGUGAUCUAGCCAUGGGCAGGUUGAAGGUUGGGUAACACUAACUGGAGGACCGAACCGACUAAUGUUGAAAAAUUAGCGGAUGACUUGUGGCUGGGGGUGAAAGGCCAAUCAAACCGGGAGAUAGCUGGUUCUCCCCGAAAGCUAUUUAGGUAGCGCCUCGUGAAUUCAUCUCCGGGGGUAGAGCACUGUUUCGGCAAGGGGGUCAUCCCGACUUACCAACCCGAUGCAAACUGCGAAUACCGGAGAAUGUUAUCACGGGAGACACACGGCGGGUGCUAACGUCCGUCGUGAAGAGGGAAACAACCCAGACCGCCAGCUAAGGUCCCAAAGUCAUGGUUAAGUGGGAAACGAUGUGGGAAGGCCCAGACAGCCAGGAUGUUGGCUUAGAAGCAGCCAUCAUUUAAAGAAAGCGUAAUAGCUCACUGGUCGAGUCGGCCUGCGCGGAAGAUGUAACGGGGCUAAACCAUGCACCGAAGCUGCGGCAGCGACGCUUAUGCGUUGUUGGGUAGGGGAGCGUUCUGUAAGCCUGUGAAGGUGUGCUGUGAGGCAUGCUGGAGGUAUCAGAAGUGCGAAUGCUGACAUAAGUAACGAUAAAGCGGGUGAAAAGCCCGCUCGCCGGAAGACCAAGGGUUCCUGUCCAACGUUAAUCGGGGCAGGGUGAGUCGACCCCUAAGGCGAGGCCGAAAGGCGUAGUCGAUGGGAAACAGGUUAAUAUUCCUGUACUUGGUGUUACUGCGAAGGGGGGACGGAGAAGGCUAUGUUGGCCGGGCGACGGUUGUCCCGGUUUAAGCGUGUAGGCUGGUUUUCCAGGCAAAUCCGGAAAAUCAAGGCUGAGGCGUGAUGACGAGGCACUACGGUGCUGAAGCAACAAAUGCCCUGCUUCCAGGAAAAGCCUCUAAGCAUCAGGUAACAUCAAAUCGUACCCCAAACCGACACAGGUGGUCAGGUAGAGAAUACCAAGGCGCUUGAGAGAACUCGGGUGAAGGAACUAGGCAAAAUGGUGCCGUAACUUCGGGAGAAGGCACGCUGAUAUGUAGGUGAAGUCCCUCGCGGAUGGAGCUGAAAUCAGUCGAAGAUACCAGCUGGCUGCAACUGUUUAUUAAAAACACAGCACUGUGCAAACACGAAAGUGGACGUAUACGGUGUGACGCCUGCCCGGUGCCGGAAGGUUAAUUGAUGGGGUCAGCGCAAGCGAAGCUCUUGAUCGAAGCCCCGGUAAACGGCGGCCGUAACUAUAACGGUCCUAAGGUAGCGAAAUUCCUUGUCGGGUAAGUUCCGACCUGCACGAAUGGCGUAAUGAUGGCCAGGCUGUCUCCACCCGAGACUCAGUGAAAUUGAACUCGCUGUGAAGAUGCAGUGUACCCGCGGCAAGACGGAAAGACCCCGUGAACCUUUACUAUAGCUUGACACUGAACAUUGAGCCUUGAUGUGUAGGAUAGGUGGGAGGCUUUGAAGUGUGGACGCCAGUCUGCAUGGAGCCGACCUUGAAAUACCACCCUUUAAUGUUUGAUGUUCUAACGUUGACCCGUGAUCCGGGUUGCGGACAGUGUCUGGUGGGUAGUUUGACUGGGGCGGUCUCCUCCUAAAGAGUAACGGAGGAGCACGAAGGUUGGCUAAUCCUGGUCGGACAUCAGGAGGUUAGUGCAAUGGCAUAAGCCAGCUUGACUGCGAGCGUGACGGCGCGAGCAGGUGCGAAAGCAGGUCAUAGUGAUCCGGUGGUUCUGAAUGGAAGGGCCAUCGCUCAACGGAUAAAAGGUACUCCGGGGAUAACAGGCUGAUACCGCCCAAGAGUUCAUAUCGACGGCGGUGUUUGGCACCUCGAUGUCGGCUCAUCACAUCCUGGGGCUGAAGUAGGUCCCAAGGGUAUGGCUGUUCGCCAUUUAAAGUGGUACGCGAGCUGGGUUUAGAACGUCGUGAGACAGUUCGGUCCCUAUCUGCCGUGGGCGCUGGAGAACUGAGGGGGGCUGCUCCUAGUACGAGAGGACCGGAGUGGACGCAUCACUGGUGUUCGGGUUGUCAUGCCAAUGGCACUGCCCGGUAGCUAAAUGCGGAAGAGAUAAGUGCUGAAAGCAUCUAAGCACGAAACUUGCCCCGAGAUGAGUUCUCCCUGAC